CAGUCGCCGCGGUAAUACGGAGGGCGCGAGCGUUACCCGGAUUUACUGGGCGUAAAGGGCGUGUAGGCGGCCUGGGGCGUCCCAUGUGAAAGGCCACGGCUCAACCGUGGAGGAGCGUGGGAUACGCUCAGGCUAGAGGGUGGGAGAGGGUGGUGGAAUUCCCGGAGUAGCGGUGAAAUGCGCAGAUACCGGGAGGAACGCCGAUGGCGAAGGCAGCCACCUGGUCCACUUCUGACGCUGAGGCGCGAAAGCGUGGGGAGCGAACAGGAUUAGAUACCCCUGUAGUCCCUGUCUCUUAUAC
rnacentral:rRNA from 1 species